rnacentral:ncRNA from 11 species
CUAACAAGGGGAUAAAAAAAUUCAAAUGUGAAACAACUAAUAUUCAAAUGUACGACGACCUUAAACAGCUCGGUGAAACU